rnacentral:rRNA from 1 species
UUGAACGCUGGCGGCAGGCCUAACCCAUGCCAGUCGAGCGGAUGAAGGGAGCUUGCUCCUGGCUUCAGCGGCGGACGGGUGAGUAAUGCCUAGGAAUCUGCCUGGUAGUGGGGGAUAACGUCCGGAAACGGGCGCUAAUACCGCAUACGUCCUGAGGGAGAAAGUGGGGGAUCUUCGGACCUCACGCUAUCAGAUGAGCCUAGGUCGGAUUAGCUAGUUGGUGGGGUAAAGGCCUACCAAGGCGACGAUCCGUAACUGGUCUGAGAGGAUGAUCAGUCACACUGGAACUGAGACACGGUCCAGACUCCUACGGGAGGCAGCAGUGGGGAAUAUUGGACAAUGGGCGAAAGCCUGAUCCAGCCAUGCCGCGUGUGUGAAGAAGGCCUUCGGAUUGUAAAGCACUUUAAGUUGGGAGGAAGGGCAGUAAGUUAAUACCUUGCUGUUUUGACGUUACCAACAGAAUAAGCACCGGCUAACUUCGUG